rnacentral:rRNA from 1 species
UACGUAGGCAGCGAGCGUUGUUCGGAAUUACUGGGCGUAAAGGGUCUGUAGGUGGCCAACUAAGUCAGACGUGAAAUCCCUCAGCUUAACUGGGGAACUGCGUCUGAUACUGGAUGGCUUGAGUGUGGGAGAGGAAUGCGGAAUUCCAGGUGUAGCGGUGAAAUGCGUAGAUAUCUGGAGGAACACCGGUGGCGAAGGCGGCAUUCUGGACCAUAACUGACACUGAGAGACGAAAGCCAGGGGAGCAAACGGG